UCCGUCGCAAGGCGGAGUCUGAAGGUCGCUAUAGGCAAACUCCUAGCCCGACAAACAGGAACCGCAUACGAGGUAGCUACAUCUGGGCGAGAGGACCAUGAAAGUUGAACUCCAAUAGCUAUCUAGAAGAUUAGAAGUAGAUGCGGCGGGUAGGUGAGAGGAAGAUCGCGAGUCUU
rnacentral:ncRNA from 1 species